rnacentral:lncRNA from 1 species
UUUCAGUCAGUUCCAGCCCCCUAUUAGUGGACUGCACUUGCAGUCAGGUCACAAGAAAAUUGUACUAACAGUUUGCAUUCUGUAAUCAUCCAAAAGGAAACAAAUUCUUGUGGUUCCAAGUUGGACAUCAUGCAUCUACAGACUCACAACUUGUGAUCCAGCACAACAUUGGAGUCAAAACAGAAGUGCUAAAGAAUUGCUCAAAUUUACAAUCUGACGAACACCAAUCUUUCAGCUGCAGGUAGGAGGAAAGGAGUGUCGAUCCCGCGGCCUCAUUCACUGCGGUGAUCAGAUGGAACUUCCUCUGGUGCGUCUGAAGGGUCCUCUUGUGGUUCCAAGUUGGACAUCAUGCAUCUACAGAUUCAUAACUUGUGAUCCAGCACAACACAGGAGUCAAAACAGAAGUGCUAGAGAAUUGCUCAAAUUUACAGUGUGACGAACACCAAUCUUUCAGCUGCAGGUAGGAGGAAAGGAAUGUCAAUCCCGUGGCCUCAUUCACUGCGGUGAUCAGAUGAAACUUCCUCUGGCGCGUCUGAAGGGUCCUCUGCUCUGCUGCAAC